GCACUUUUGUGCUUUAUUUGUGAUAUUUUCUCCCUCAGCACCAUUCACAUGUUCUGGGUAUUUUUCUGAAUGUUUUAACCUCAGUGUUUAACCCGCCAUAUACCUCUGUGUGGAGCAUGAGUGGGCGCUGGCUUUUAUUUUAUAUUUAUGGAGGGUUCGCCUGUCGGUUCAGCUCCAUCCUUGGGCUGACAGCACGUUCCUGCAACAUUCCCCGUAACCUCUAGUUUCCUCAUGUGCCUGUGUCUUUAUCUGGGGUUCUCUCAUGGUGACACCAACCUGUUCAUUCCUGGAGGGUUACCGUGGGUCACAACCCUCCAGAGGGGGUUCCUCACCUUUGGCCUUUCUUGACAUUCUUGCUGUUUUAAUCUCCAUUUGAAUUUUAUAACAAACUUAUAAAGCUCUAUGAAAAACCACUUAGGGGUUUUAUUAGAAUUAUAUUGAAUUUAUAGAAUUAUUUGGGGAAAUCUAUAUACAUAUAUAUUCAUGUUGGAAUAUGGGUUUGCAAUUGAUCUGUGUGGUGUAUUCCUAAAAUUAUAUCAUUAAUGUAUUUAAGUAAUGUUUAACGAUUUUCUCUUUGAAGUUUGUCACACAUCUGAUAUGUCUGGUAUAGUUUUAGCUACCGUAGUUUUUAAUUAUACAUUCCUUUGUUCUCGUUUACCGCUCUCCUCCCAUCUGUUCCACUGAUGAAUUUUUAAUUAUUCCUUUAUUUCCCGCUCAUCAAUUUGAAAGCUAUAGCUCAUGUUUUUGUUUUAUUAGUGGGUACCUGUCUAUUUUUAAUCACACACAUGCUUACAGACCGUCUAACUCUUAAGCUAAUACCUUGACUGACUCCUCCAGACAUCAAAGUCUUCUGUGCACUUGAACUUGACAUGGGACCCCUGCUCCUGCCCCCACAGGGCAGUGGAGGAAGGUCCAGACGAGACUGGGGCAGACGCUUCAGGGUUCAAGUGACAGCCAACAGCAAGACCUGGGACAGCGACAGACAUAUCAACCUCUGGUUCAGUGAGGUGGCGACAGCCAUCACAAUUCCUGGGAGGCGGACACUUCAGCCUCAUUUCAUCGCACACACUGGGGUCUGCCCUGGAGGGCACGGGUCAGCCCUCCUUUGUUGAGGCCUGAAUCCCCCAUUGUGUGGUCUGGUCAAGCUGCCGGAAAACACACCUGAGCUUCUCCGCAUGUCCUGUGAGAAUGGACAUUGCAAUCUCCACCUUGCUGGGUUUUCAUGGAAAGCAAAUGAGACAAUCUAUAUAAAACAUUCAGCCUUGCACAGCGUGGACAUCCAGGAAAUAUUUUCUGUCAUGCUCUUCAUUCCUGGGCUGGGUCAGGUAAAUGAACAUGGACCUUGUAGUAAUUCGGUGCUUUUGUGAACAAUAUUUUGGAGACUAUCAGUGACGUCCAGCCUGCUCUCUCCAUCACUGAGACUAAGUGGCUGUGGGGGCCCCAGGUCUGGGAAAGCGGCUUCAAUCAUCAGAUUGUGUUGGAUGUUAAGUAAUAGGACUAAUAAUAUAUAAUUCCAAAUGAUUUGCCUGACUGCUCACUUCUCAUUUCCUGUUCUUUCAUGAAUAGCUAGACCUUGGUGUUCAGAAUCUUGUGUGUCUUCCCUCCACUAUACUAGGAAUUGCUCUGUGGUGUCGCAACUAAAUUCAAUGUUCUGUGAGAAAUGUGAGAAUCCCAGUGGACCUGAAAUGCCAACCUGUAAAUAGCAGGUGUGUGAGUAAAUGAUAAAACCCAAGUCCAAACACAUUUUAAAUGACACAGUGAGGAGCGCUGGACUUAUUUCUGUGGAUGUUUCAUGGCAUAAUGGUAAACAUGUUCUUCUGAAAGGAUGUAAAUCCCCACAGUGUGAAACACCAGUUACUCUUUAAAUUAAAAUUCUGCUGCUAGAAUUAAGGUGAGUCUGUGAGAUUACCUUGUCAUAUGAUUUCGUAGAAUUUUUCUCUUGGAUAGUGAAGUAAAAUUAGAUGGUACUUGAUCUCCAGUUAAUAAUUGUUUGUACACCUGUUCAUAGUCUUUCAUAUCAUUGUCUGAGACUCGGGCUGCGCGGAGUCACUGCUCAGAGAUGAAUUUCUCAGCGGUGAAUUAGAUUGAAGGACCGUUCAUCUGUACUAGACGUCUUGUCCAUAAGAAAGUGUAUAAAUAUCAGUGAAGUUGUCAAAUUGUACGCACUGGAAUUAUACCCCGAGCGAACUGGCUCUUCAGUAUUUGGCCGCAGGCGUGAGGAGCAACGACGGUCGAGAAGCAGAGGGAGAGCUGGCAACACUGUUUCUAGACACCUUGUGAAUCGUUUUAUUGCUCAGUUCAGAAAUAUCCAUCUGUACUUAUUUGAUGGAAGUUCUGGUCCAAUAGUCUACCCUUUGCAUAAUCUAUUUUCAUGUCUCGCCUUUUUUGUGAAUAUCUGUAUUCACCCCACCCUUGAGUCCACACCCGUGGGCCUGGAAUUCUGUGAAAUGCAUAUUUGAUUAAAGUUUUAUUAUCACCCAAAGUUAAAUUUUGCAAACAAGUUCUGAAUAAAUUAUUCAAGUUAAGCUAUAGCA
rnacentral:lncRNA from 1 species